rnacentral:rRNA from 1 species
AUUGAACGCUGGCGGCAGGCCUACCACCUGCAAGUCGAACGAGUGGCGGACGGGUGAGUAAUAUCUGGGAAACUGCCCGAUGGAGGGUGAUAACUACGGGAAACGGUAGCUAAUACCGCAUACCAUCGGAUGUGCCCAGAGGGGAUUAGCUAGUAGGUGGGGGAAUGUGUCACAUAGGCGACGAUCCCUAGCUGGUCUGAGAGGAUGACCAGCCACACUGGAACUGAGACACGGGCCAGACUCCGACGGGAGGCAGCAGUGGGGAAUAUUGCACAAUGGGCGCAAGCCUGAUGCAGCCAUGCCGCGUGUAUGAAGAAGGCCUUCGGGUUGUAAAGUACUUUCAGCGAGGAGGCGUUACUCGCAGAAGAAGCACCGGCUAACUCCGUGCCAGCAGCCGCGGUAAUUC